CCUACGGGAGGCAGCAGUAAGGAAUAUUGGACAAUGGGCGAAAGCCUGAUCCAGCCAUGCCGCGUGAAGGAUUAAGGUCCUCUGGAUUGUAAACUUCUUUUAUGUGGGACGAAAAAAGGGCAUUCUUGCUCACUUGACGGUACCAUUUGAAUAAGCACCGGCUAACUCCGUGCCAGCAGCCGCGGUAAUACGGAGGGUGCAAGCGUUAUCCGGAUUCACUGGGUUUAAAGGGUGCGUAGGCGGGUAGGUAAGUCAGUGGUGAAAUCUCGAAGCUUAACUUCGAAACUGCCAUUGAUACUAUCUAUCUUGAAUAUUGUGGAGGUUUGCGGAAUAUGUCAUGUAGCGGUGAAAUGCUUAGAUAUGACAUAGAACACCGAUUGCGAAGGCAGCAGGCUACACAUAUAUUGACGCUGAGGCACGAAAGCGUGGGGAUCAAACAGGAUUAGAUACCCUGGUAGUCCACGCCCUAAACGAUGAUUACUCGACAUACGCGAUACACUGUGUGUGUGUGAGAGAAGAGAGUUAAGUAAUACCUACCGUUAGGUUAAGGUACGUUCCGCCGAAGGAGUUAGUUAAACGUUAAAGUUAGUUAAGUUAGACGGCGUUGAGACGUUCGCCGACGGACGACGACGGAGGGAGGUAGG
rnacentral:rRNA from 1 species